UACGGGGGGGGCAAGCGUUGUUCGGAAUUACUGGGCGUAAAGGGCUCGUAGGUGGCCAACUAAGUCAGACGUGAAAUCCCUCGGCUUAACCGGGGAACUGCGUCUGAUACUGGAUGGCUUGAGAUUGGGAGAGGGAUGCGGAAUUCCAGGUGUAGCGGUGAAAUGCGUAGAUAUCGGAAGGAACAUCAGUGGCGAAAGCGACUUCCUGGACCAGUACCGACGUUCAGGCACGAAAGCGUGGGGAGCAAACAGG
rnacentral:rRNA from 1 species